CAUUUCCAAAGCGGUGAAACUUCACUCUAUUAUUGUUGUUAGGGAUCGCCUUUGUUUCAGUACACCUUGAUCGUAGCAAUUUCCAGAGCUGUUCUCCAUUACCAUAAAUUAGGGCUCAAACUGCUCUUCGCCAUGGCAACAAGAAUCUGCUGAAUAUUGAAACCAGUGAGGAGACAGUUAUACGAGUUCUGCUUUAGUUUAGCCAAAGGGAUCAUUGCAAGAGGAUACUAUCAGCUACGUCCAGGGAAAACGGCUCUU